rnacentral:rRNA from 1 species
GACGAACGCUGGCGGCGUGCUUAACACAUGCAAGUCGAACGGAAAGGCCCUGCUUGCAGGGUACUCGAGUGGCGAACGGGUGAGUAACACGUGGGUGAUCUGCCCUGCACUUCGGGAUAAGCCUGGGAAACUGGGUCUAAUACCGGAUAGGAGCCAUUUUUAGUGUGAUGGUUGGAAAGUUUUUUCGGUGUAGGAUGAGCUCGCGGCCUAUCAGCUUGUUGGUGGGGUAAUGGCCUACCAAGGCGGCGACGGGUAGCCGGACUGAGAGGGUGGUCGGCCACAUUGGGACUGAGAGAAGGCCCAGACUCCUACGGGAGGCAGCAGUGGGGAAUAUUGCACAAUGGGCGCAAGCCUGAUGCAGCGACGCCGCGGGGGGGAUGACGGCCUUCGGGUUGUAAAAUCCUUUCGCUAGGGACGAAGCUUUUUGUGACGGUACCUAGAUAAGAAGCACCGGCUAACUACGUG